UCUUCGUCGCCGCUGCCAUCGUCGUCUCGUCGUCGUCAAGCUCUCUUGGUCGCCGACGUGUCUUCGUGCUGCUCCGUACGAUAGACGCGUAUAUACCUACCACGAGUGACCGAUAUGUUUUCGUUUACCGCGUGGCCUGCUACGUAUACGUGGUUACGUGGUCGCAAUCGUACGGGACCCCGUGAAAGGAUCUCGUUAAGCCUCGCCACGAUCGUAUUUGGACUUUUUCAUCGAAUAAACGGUCCACCGGGAUCGCAUUAAUAUGGAGCCCCGACGACCGGUAUAAUUAACUCGUCCACAACGCUUAUUUAUUCGAUCGGCCCGUAUCGCUAUCCGCGUAAAACAGCCUGUCAAACGUGGCCACCGAUGAACCUGUUCCGCGUCGGACUGUGUCGAGAUAAUCCGGAUGGGGCUCCUGAUUGAAACGCGUUGAGACGCGCAGGUGCUUUAAAUACGACAGCAUUAACGAUAGAGGCAUGAAAUUUGCAUCAAAGAAAUUUCAAUGACAAGUAUAUAAAAAAUGUAUAAUGCAAGGAGAAAGAAAAGUUUUCAUUCGUAUACG